GACGAACGCUGGCGGCGUGCUUAACACAUGCAAGUCGAACGAUGAAGUUCCUUCGGGAAUGGAUUAGUGGCGAACGGGUGAGGAACACGUGAGAAACCUGCCUUUCAUUUUGGGAUAGCUCCGGGAAACCGGGGCUAAAACCGAAUACUCCGUCUCGGCGGCAUCGCUGAGCCGGGAAAACAUUUUGAUGAAAGAUGGUCUCGCGGCCUAUCAGCUAGUUGGUGAGGUAAUGGCUCACCAAGGCAACGACGGGUAGCCGGCCUGAGAGGGCGACCGGCCACACUGGGACUGAGACACGGCCCAGACUCCUACGGGAGGCAGCAGUGGGGAAUAUUGGGCAAUGGGCGCAAGCCUGACCCAGCGACGCCGCGUGAGGGAUGAAGGCCUUCGGGUUGUAAACCUCUUUCAGUAGGGAAGAAGCGAAAGUGACGGUACCUAAAGAAGAAGCACCGGCUAACUAUGUGCCAGCCGCCGCAGUAA
rnacentral:rRNA from 1 species